rnacentral:rRNA from 1 species
AGGAAGGGUGGGGAUGACGUCAAGUCAGCAUGGCCUUUAUAUCCUGGGCUACACACACGCUACAAUGGGAAGGGACAAUAGGUUGCGAAACCGCGAGGUGGAGCCAAUCCAGCAAAACUUCCCUCAGUUCAGAUUGCAGGCUGCAACUCGCCUGCAUGAAGUUGGAGUUGCUAGUAAACGCAGGUCAGCCAUACUGCGUUGAAUACGUUCCCGGGGCUU